rnacentral:rRNA from 1 species
GCGCGAAAACUCUGCAAUGCACGCAAGUGUGACAGGGGAAUCCGAAGUGCUUAGUUUACUAGGCUUUUGCUAAGUGUAAAUAACUUGGCGAAUAAGGGGUGGGAAAGACUGGUGCCAGCCGCCGCGGUAACACCAGCGCCCCAAGUGGGGGUCUCGCUUAUUGGGUCUAAAGCGUCCGUAGCUGGCUUGUUAAAUUUCUUGUGAAAUUGUCCGGCUCAACCGGGCAGCGUGCAGGGAAGACUGGCAAGCUUGGGACCGGGAAGGGUCAGAGGUAUACUGGGGGGAGCGGUAAAAUGCUAUAAUCCCCAGUAGACCACCUGUGGCGAAGGCGUCUGACUAGAACGGGUCCGACAGUGAGGGACGAAAGCCAGGGGAGCAAACCGG